rnacentral:rRNA from 1 species
CGGAAAAGUACUAUACAAUUAAAUAAAAUGGUAGAAACAAAAGAAUAGCGAAGAAGAAGCAAAUGCGCUUCACGCUAAUUCCAAGUACCAACACAAAACAAAUUCAAUGGUUUGGUGAAGCAACUUGCUUAGUGGCGGACGGGUGAGUAACGCGUGAACAAUCUGCCCCGUACAAAGGGAUAGCCUCGGGAAACCGGGAUUAAAACCAUAUAACACUUAACUGCCGCAUGGUAGUGAAGUCAAAUCGAUUAAGAGGUAUGGGAUGAGUUCGCGUCUGAUUAGCUAGUUGGUGAGGUAAGGGCUCACCAAGGCGACGAUCAGUAGCCGGCCUGAGAGGGUGAACGGCCACACUGGAACUGAGACACGGUCCAGACUCCUACGGGAGGCAGCAGUGGGGAAUAUUGCACAAUGGAGGGAACUCUGAUGCAGCGACGCCGCGUGAGUGAAGAAGGUCUUCGGAUCGUAAAACUCUGUCCUUGGUGAAGAAAAGGACGGUAGCCAAGGAGGAAGCCCCGGCUAACUACGUG